rnacentral:rRNA from 1 species
AGAGUUUGAUCCUGGCUCAGAACUAACGCUGGCGGCGUGCCUAACACAUGCAAGUCGUACGAGAAAGUCGGCUUCAGCUGAUGAGUAAAGUGGCGCACGGGUGAGUAACGCGUGGAUAAUCUGCCCUUUAGUGUGGAAUAACGUACCGAAAGGUGCGCUAAUACCGCAUAAUACUGAGUGACUACUGUCAUUUAGUCAAAGAAGGCCUCUGUUUACAAGCUUUUGCUGAAGGAUGAGUCCGCGUACCAUUAGCUAGUUGGUCGGGUAAUGGCCUACCAAGGCGACGAUGGUUAGCUGGUCUGAGAGGAUGAUCAGCCACACUGGAACUGAGACACGGUCCAGACUCCUACGGGAGGCAGCAGUGAGGAAUAUUGCGCAAUGGGGGCAACCCUGACGCAGCAACGCCGCGUGAGUGAGGAAGGUUUUCGGACCGUAAAGCUCUGUCGAGCGGGAAGAAGUGUAUGGUGGCUAAUAUCCAUCAUACUUGACGGUACCGCUAGAGGAAGCACCGGCUAACUCCGUGCCAGCAGCCGCGGUAAUACGGGGGGUGCAAGCGUUGUUCGGAAUUAUUGGGCGUAAAGAGCGUGUAGGCGGCUGGAUAAGUCAGAUGUGAAAUCCCUGGGCUUAACUCAGGAAGUGCAUUUGAAACUAUCCAGCUUGAGUAAGGGAGAGGAAAGUGGAAUUCCUGGUGUAGAGGUGAAAUUCGUAGAUAUCAGGAGGAACACCGGUGGCGAAGGCGACUUUCUGGCCCUAUACUGACGCUGAGACGCGAGAGCGUGGGUAGCAAACAGGAUUAGAUACCCUGGUAGUCCACGCUGUAAACGAUGUUCACUAGGUGUUGGGGGUAUUGACCCUCUCAGUGCCGCAGCUAACGCAUUAAGUGAACCGCCUGGGGAGUACGGUCGCAAGAUUAAAACUCAAAGGAAUUGACGG